AUGAUUCAACUUAUCGCACUCCUGGGAAUCGAACCCUGGUUUCCCAGGUCAUCAUCCAAUGCCACUAACUGUUUACAUCGCUCUCACAGCCUAAACGUGCACUAUUCUGAGACUAUAUCUUGACUGAGAUGUAUUCUAUUUCUCCUUUAUUAGCUGAAAGUAAUAACUUACUUGUGAAAAGUCACAUCCUUGUUUCUUCCCGCUCUAUUUUUGCAAUUGUACGCACAGCAGUGAGAAGGCAUAUCGCCCUUUCCAAUAUGGCGUCAAACUUUGCGUUGUAACUCGGAGAGCAGCGACUCUAUCCUUUAUAACCCAAUUGGUCGGACGCUUCAGCGCCACUAUUAUAGACCAUUGACUGUAAAAUAGAACUAGUUUCUUGUACAGUACAUGUUAUCGGCGCGCUUUUUUGUAGAACACGGCUGAGUUUGCCAAACCCCCGAUCUGAAACGGUUUACUUGUCGAUUUACGCAUGCGCGAACACUGUCGCACAUUGUUUACGUAGUUAGAAGGGUGGAGUCGGAUUCUUAAAAAAAAUGCUGAGACCUCCUUUUGGGAGCUCUCCUCCUCACCUUUACCCCAAAUGACGUUUACUAAUGAGGUCAAGGAAAACAGAGGAGAAAGCUGGAAAGGAGACCUGAUGAAGAUGACCAGCGCGCGGCGGCAGCGCCAGUCAGUCCGUGAGGUGAACCGCGUGCAGAGGUGAUGUCCGGUCAGCAGCAGCAUCCCUGCGCCGCGCACUUUCUCCUUUCACGCGCCCGUUUACGCUUUUCAACGGCUCCAGCCAGUGUCCGCUCCUGCGUCUGUGUCACGGGACGUCCGGACGUGAUGUUAGAAGAAGAUUCUGGACGGUUAUCUUCCUCAUCCUCGUUAGCACUAGCCUGCUAGCAUUGAAGAUGUUUUGUUAGCAGCGUAGAAGACGGAACACAACGAGCCAUGAUCACCACUGAAGCUUCCAGAGAGUUUCAGGCCAAAGAGCGUAAAUACAAAGAGCAGCUGAAGAGAUGUUUAUCGUCUGCUCUGUCUGCAGACCUGAACAGGCUGCUGCACGAGGAGCUGGAGACGGACGUUUGCCUGUGCCCAGUGUCGGGUUCCGUCCGGGCUCACAGACCCGUGUUGUUGGCGAGAGCUCCUCUUCUUCUGAUGGGACAGUUGCACAAAGAUCCCACCACCAUCCAUCUGCCAAACUAUGAACUUUCUGCCCUCAAAGAUUUUCUUUGGUGAGCCCCUCAAGAUCUGCAGUGUUUCACAUGUUUAUUGUAACCUGAUUAACUGGAUACGCAUUAAAUCAGGAUUUUUAAUCUAAAUAAAAAAAA
rnacentral:lncRNA from 1 species